AGAGUUUGAUCCUGGCUCAGGACGAACGCUGGCGGCAGGCUUAACACAUGCAAGUCGAACGAGAAAGCCCCUUCGGGGGUGAGUACAGUGGCUCACGGGUGCGUAACGCGUAGACAACCUGCCCUUGAGUGGGGGAUAACCACCGGAAACGGUGGCUAAUACCGCAUAACAUCACCGCCCCGCAUGGGGCGAUGAUCAAAACUUCGGUGCUCAAGGAUGGGUCUGCGUCGGAUUAGCUAGUUGGUGAGGUAACAGCUCACCAAGGCGACGAUCCGUAGCUGGUCUGAGAGGAUGAUCAGCCACACUGGCACUGAGACACGGGCCAGACUCCUACGGGAGGCAGCAGUGAGGAAUCUUGCGCAAUGGAGGAAACUCUGACGCAGCCAUGCCGCGUGAAGGGAGACACCCCGCUGGGGCGUAAACUUCUUUUGUAUGGGAAGAAACGUGGGCUCAUGCCCACCUGACGGUACCGUACGAAUAAGGACCGGCUAACUCCGUGCCAGCAGCCGCGGUAAUACGGAGGGUCCAAGCGUUGUCCGGAAUCACUGGGUGUAAAGGGUGUGUAGGUGGACUUAUAAGUCAGAGGUGAAAGCCCACGGCUCAACCGUGGAAUUGCCUUUGAUACUGUAAGUCUUGAGUCCUGGAGGGGCUGUUGGAAUUCGUGGUGUA
rnacentral:rRNA from 1 species